rnacentral:rRNA from 1 species
AUGUAUCUAAGUCGUGCCUCGACACGUGGGAGCUAUAGUCGCAUCGAGGGUGUUAUAUGUGCCCACCAGGGGAAGCUUCCUAGAAGUUUCUUUAUUUCCAAAAAAUUUAAAUAUUCCAAAACUGAUAAAAAAUAUGUUUGCAGAUUUUUCGGAGUCCCACUACUGGUUGGAAUAACUUCUACCCAUUUAGUAACAUAA